UGCAGUCGAGCGAUGAAGCUCCUUCGGGAGCGGAUUAGCGGCGGACGGGUGAGUAACACGUGGGUAACCUGCCUCAUAGAGGGGAAUAGCCUUUCGAAAGGAAGAUUAAUACCGCAUAAGAUUGUAGUGCCGCAUGGCAUAGCAAUUAAAGGAGUAAUCCGCUAUGAGAUGGACCCGCGUCGCAUUAGCUAGUUGGUGAGGUAACGGCUCACCAAGGCGACGAUGCGUAGCCGACCUGAGAGGGUGAUCGGCCACAUUGGGACUGAGACACGGCCCAGACUCCUACGGGAGGCAGCAGUGGGGAAUAUUGCACAAUGGGGGAAACCCUGAUGCAGCAACGCCGCGUGAGUGAUGACGGUCUUCGGAUUGUAAAGCUCUGUCUUCAGGGACGAUAAUGACGGUACCUGAGGAGGAAGCCACGGCUAACUACGUGCCAGCAGCCGCGGUAAUACGUAGGUGGCAAGCGUUGUCCGGAUUUACUGGGCGUAAAGGGAGCGUAGGUGGAUAUUUAAGUGGGAUGUGAAAUACUCGGGCUUAACCUGGGUGCUGCAUUCCAAACUGGAUAUCUAGAGUGCAGGAGAGGAAAGUAGAAUUCCUAGUGUAGCGGUGAAAUGCGUAGAGAUUAGGAAGAAUACCAGUGGCGAAGGCGACUUUCUGGACUGUAACUGACACUGAGGCUC
rnacentral:rRNA from 1 species